UAUUGGACUUCUUGAAGAAUCUGAAUGAUGCCCCAAAACUGAAGGCCUCGAUAUAGCCACAAAGCACAGUGCAGAUAUAAAAAAGUAGAGCCAAAACUGAGUGCCAGACCGGACCUCACCUAGAAUCUCUUUCUGGAGAAAAUGGAAAUCCACUCUUAACAUAUGUAUACAUCCGUUCCCAUCCAAAACCUGGUCCCCAUUCCCCAGUGAGGGUCCUAGAGCUGACAACUCAUACGAACUAAAGUGCCAGGUGACAGCUUUCUUUGAUGAUAUUUUUUAACGGUUACACACAGGAACUGCCAUAUUGUACUGGACCAGUGACUCAUCUAGUCCAGUACCCAUCUCCAAUAGUAGAACUACCACUAGCAGAUGUUCUAGAAGGAAGUGCAAGAAACCCUGAAAAUGAUUGUUAUGAGAUAACUUGUGCACAAGGGAAGUUUCAUUCUAACCCCAGGCAAUUAGUGGGGCUAUAAUUUUUGGUCAUUUUAAGUAAUUGUGUAUGUCCAUAUAAAUCAUAAUAUAGAUACUAUAUGCCAGGGGGUUUCAACCUUUUUUGGUUGGGGUACCUCCGGCAACCAGUUGAGAAGCAAGGAGAUCCCCAGUGGCUGAUUGACAAGCAGGGGCAAGUCCCCUGGCAACUGGUCAAUGAGUUGGGGGUGGGGGGGGAAUGCCACUGGCUUCUCUGCAUUGCUACCAUGUACCCCCUAGGGUCUUCCAAAGUACCCCCAGGGGCACGCAUAUCCCUGAUUGAAAACCACUGCUAUAUGCAAAAAUGACAGAAUAUGGCUAGGAAAUACCAGCUUCACAAUUAUUCAUGCAGCCUUUACUUAGCUUCCUUGCGCACCCAUUCUGUGCCUCAGAUGAAAUAAGGUACUUUCUACCCAAAAGGCUGGAAAAUGGUAUUGACAACCUCUUCUCUAUGCUGCAGGACAGUUCUGUGACUGGCACAGAGAGUAGGGCAAUGGACCCUACCCUGCUCCAGGCCCUUUUCUAGAGGGUUAGCACUGCUUUUGAAUUAACCCUAAACUUGUCUUUGUUCUCAGCAGAACACAAGCAGCUCCAAAUUUGACUGGGACCUGAUUGAGAAGGCAAAGGCAUAGAUUCUCAGCCCCACAUUAAGUCUGGCUUAAUGCUGCAUGAGGGAAACGUGACAAAUAGAACUGGACAGAAAAUGCAAGGGAAAUAUUACAGUUGUUGCUGCUCUUCAUCAGAAUUUGGAGUUUUACAAAAGUCACAAUUUUUAACAUUUAAAAAUACAGCAAUAUCUAUAACUACAUGAAAAUAUUAUCUUAAAGAAGUCUUCAAAAGUUGUCCAUCAUUAAGGUUACUUGUGUACAAUUACAAAGAAUUAUUCUACCAUAAAUCCAAAAUUCAGAAAAAACUGUAAUCCGCUCUGAUUACCAAGCACUGAUUAUGCAAAUCCAGAUCAGCCUAUUGUUUCAUUGCAGCAAACCUCAGAAGGGAUUUUUUUUUUUUAAUAUCAAAAUGAGAUCUUUCCACUAAAAUUGAAAUUUAAAUAAUUUGUACCUGCUCUACUAAAAAGGGUAGCCAUACUUGAGAUGCUUUGAUAUAACUUAAAAUAUAUCUUAAGUGCAGCAAUUUAAGAUAUCCUGCCACAAAUCCUUUCCCUCGUAACAGUUCUCCACCCCUACAAUUAAGAACAAUUCUCAGCCACAACUACCUCUUUCAAAUGACAGGGAAAGAAAAAGAGCCUUUCAACUUUCCCUGAAGCUAAUCAAAUUCAAGCUAUUUCAUGUUUCUUUUUCUGUGAGAGAGAAAGAGAGAGGUAGAGAGAGAGAGAAUCCCUUCCCCCGAAAAAGUGACUAUCUAGAUUGUUGAUAAGAUGUAACAGGUGAAGGGGAAAAAUAUCAUGUAGGAGUGGAAGGAAAGAAGUCAAGGUAGCAGUAACAAAGUAGUAGUAACAUUUUCAAGCAGACUAGACAUGUAUGCAGUAAAGGUUGCAUACAUUUUCAGCAUCUUCCACCUAUCUGCUCUUAUUCAUGAAUUUUACUAAAAAAAAAAAAAAAAAUCAUUUUAUUGAACCUGUGAUGAAGGAUACUAUACUGCUAUUCUGUAAGAAGUUUGUUUUCUACAAGGUGAGGAGUAUAUAUUGUAAAAGGAUUUUAUAAACUUAUGAUCCCAGAUGUAAU